rnacentral:tRNA from 1 species
GGGGUUGUGGCUCAGUGGUAGAGUCUCGUCUCGCACGUGCAGGACCCUGGGUUCAAUCCUCAGCACCACG